AACUCCUCCUAGUUCAUUGUGCUCUGCCCUAACCCGUUCUUGUUCGUGCUCUGCCCUAACUCCUCCAUCAAAAGCCCCAACACGACGAGACACUCACUGCCCUAACUCCUCCUCCUUCAUUGUGCCUCGCCCUCACUCACCGUGGAUGCUCCCCUUUGCCGCUGUUCCAUUACUUCGCUGCAAAACCCUAACCCCCUAACCCCUCCCGCGCCGCUCCCUUCCUGCUUCUUGCUUCUUUGAUGUAUUGAAGGCAAUCUCGUUGAAGCAGAACUGGGAUUUGAACGAUUUGCGGGUUCUUAAUUCGGAAUCUGUUGGGAACAGGUUCAGGUUCGGAACGUUUCAGAACUUCGAGUUCAGAAUUGGGUUUGGGAAAAAGAGCAAUUUUUCUGUGAAAUUCCCUUAGCCACAGGCGCCGCAGACGCAGAACGCGGUCACCGCCGAGGCGCCGCACAAGGCACAGAAGCAGAAGCACUUCGUCGCCCUCUCCUCCUCCUCCUAAAUCACGCAGUCCCAGUGUUGUUGCGAACCAUCAGAAGCUCAAAAAAGACGAAGAAGAAAAGAGAAGGUAACUGAUUUUUGUUAUUUAUCCCUUCAUUUAUUUAUCUAUUUUGUAGUUUGUCUUCGUGAUUUUUUUCCUGAAUUGGUUGAUAAUUUAGUGUGUAAUAUUGGUGAGAAAAUGUGAAACGAAGAGAAUUCUAUUGGUUGAGACUAGCAAUUUCUGAUUCGUGCUUGCUAGUUUUAACCUUAAUUUAUGAAGAAUGCACCGCACUGGAAAUUGGGUAUGUUGAAAACGCGUGAUAAUUUUUGCAGUUAUUCGAUGUAUUUUAGCAGUUAUUCGAUGCUUGCUAGGUUCUUGGGGAUCCCAAAUAUAAUUUCGAGAGGGUGAGCCUUUGUAUUUCUACAGUUAACAUGAAUAUGAAGAUAUAAAUCUGAUAGCAGUUUGGAGAUUAUGUAUGUGUGCGGAUUAGGAUAAGCAUAUUUUUGUCUGACAAAUCUAUUAUCAUCAAAAGCUUAUUGACUGUGAGAGAUUUUUUUAAAAUGGUUUUAGAAAGUUAAAUGUAGCAUGCUUGCAAUCUAGGUAGAUCUUUUGGAAUGAAUUUCCUUCUUCUUUGAGGGUAAGUGAUGCCAAUUUGAAAAUGCAACAGGUUAAUUUCCUUUCAGAAUUCUGAUUUUGCUGUACUCUAUGUGCAAUUUGGUCUUCAAUUUAUGAGUAGAGGAAAUUGGUUAUGUGGCUAUGAAAAUUAAAUAUAUAUAUAUCUCACAUUAAUUAAUGUUUACAAGGUUAGUAGCUAUAGGUUCUAAUGAUUUCACUGUCACUUUCUUUGCUUCACACAGUUGUUGGAUUAGAUCACAUGACAUGACAUGUUGGUAAAUGGUAAUUUAUGUGUGUUUAUU